GUUGUGUUUUAAGAUUUUUGCUUCAUUUUGUAUUUGCAGCGUUUCUUUUAUACAGCGCUUUUAGCAAACGCUGCGCCUGUUUCAUCAAGUUGGUGAAGGUUUUUCUUCUUCAAUUUCCAUGUGUUUUAGCUCAUUUGUGAUUUUAUACAUUUGCAUCGUUUCUGAAGCUGC